rnacentral:rRNA from 1 species
GAUGAACGCUGGCGGCGUGCCUAAUACAUGCAAGUCGAGCGAACAGAUGAGGAGCUUGCUCCUCUGACGUUAGCGGCGGACAGGUGAGUAACACGUGGAUAACCUACCUAUAAGACUGGGAUAACUUCGGGAAACCGGAGCUAAUACCGGAUAAUAUAUUGAACCGCAUGGUUCAAUAGUGAAAGACGGUUUUGCUGUCACUUAUAGAUGGAUCCGCGCCGCAUUAGCUAGUUGGUAAGGUAACGGCUUACCAAGGCAACGAUGCGUAGCCGACCUGAGAGGGUGAUCGGCCACACUGGAACUGAGACACGGUCCAGACUCCUACGGGAGGCAGCAGUAGGGAAUCUUCCGCAAAGGGCGAAAGCCUGACGGAGCAACGCCGCGUGAGUGAUGAAGGUCUUCGGAUCGUAAAACUCUGUUAUUAGGGAAGAACAAAUGUGUAAGUAACUAUGCACGUCUUGACGGUACCUAAUCAGAAAGCCACGGCUAACUACGUG